rnacentral:rRNA from 1 species
CCUACGGGGGGCUGCAGUGGGGAAUAUUGGACAAUGGGCGCAAGCCUGAUCCAGCAAUGCCGCGUGUGUGAAGAAGGCCUGCGGGUUGUAAAGCACUUUGAGUGGGGAAGAAGGCCUGGGGGUUAAUAGCUUCUGGGAUUGACGUUACCCACAGAACAAGCACCGGCUAACUCCGUGCCAGCAGCCGCGGUAAUACGGAGGGUGCGAGCGUUAAGCGGAGUUCGUGGGCGUGGUGCAAUCGGAGGCAUUUGAAAGCCCUGGGCUUAACCUGGGAACUACAUUGGAUACUGUUUGACUGGAGUGUGGUAGAGGGGUGUGGAAUUUCCGGUGUAGCAGUGAAAUGCGUAGAGAUCGGAAGGAACACCAGUGGCGAAGGCGGCACCCUGGACCGACACUGACGCUGAGGUGCGAAAGCGUGGGGAGCAAACAGGAUUAGAUACCCCUGUAGUC